UACGUAGGGGGCGAGCGUUGUCCGGAGUUACUGGCGUAAGGGCAUGCAGGCGGUCCGACACGUUUUGUGUGACAGCGGGUGGCUUAACUACCCGAGGAUACGAAAGACGGUUGGACUUGAGGACUCGAGAGGGACACGGAAUUCCGGGUGGAGUGGUGAAAUGCGUAGAGAUCCGGAGGAACACCGAAGGCGAAGGCAGUGUCCUGGCGAGUGACUGACGCUGAGGUGCGAAAGCCAGGGGAGCGAACGGG
rnacentral:rRNA from 1 species